UAAGUGUGGGCAUUUUCCAAAAAGGGGCGGGAGGAACCGAACUUGCAAAAAAAAAAAAAGUUGUGCCUUAGAAGUAGCGUCCUCCCAAAUGGGCUCAAGCCACCGGCUGCGGGGGAGGGGUGUGUGCGGGGCAGAGGUUCGGGCUUUUGGGCUCAAGUAACGCCGAUGGAUAGAAGGAGCUUCCUCGCUUCGUAAAAGAGGGAACGGAUUCGGCAGAAGCUACAGUGAGCUCACGGCGAGUCAAACCCAAAUGGAUUGCCCCUUCAGCUUGCCUCGCCCCUUUGAUUCCAAUUUGCCUCCCGAAUCCGCCGCCAACUGGGUUCCUCUCGAAGCCUCCGGAUUAGAGUUCCUAGCGUUUCCAUAUAAUGCGAACUAUGUAAAACAGGAAUUUGAAGAGUCCGAGUAGAUCUGCCGGGGAAAGUUCUGUUGAGACUUGCCUGUACAACUAUGCCAGCAGAGGAACAUGGGAGUUGGCCAACCAGAUCUGCAGAUUUUACAGAACUUAAUAUACAGCACACAAAAUGUGCAACUUGGUAGUCUGGAAUAUCCAGGGGAAUGAGUUCUCUUCCUGGUGGAGCUUCUUCUACUUCUCCUAUCAGCUUUUCCUUGCCUUUCUCUUCAAUACUGUCAAGUUCGUGGGUAUCUGAACUAGGAUAUAGCAAGUCACAAUUUUGGAGACUCAAAUUUUUCUGUGAGUGAGAAGCAUUUUCU